CAGAAGUCAGGUCGGAUUAAGCCAUAGUACGGAAAAAACUAUGCUACCUGUGAGCCCCGUCCAAGGACGUUAAAAGAAGUCAGGCCACUAUAAGUGCCAUAGCUUGAGUAAACUAUGCAGCCUGUAGCUCCACCUGAGAAGGUGUAAAAAAUCUGGGAGGCCACAAACCAUGGAAGCUGUACGCAUGGCGUAGUGGACUAGCGGUUAGAGGAGACCCCUCCCUUACAAAUCGCAGCAACAAUGGGGG
rnacentral:lncRNA from 1 species